rnacentral:rRNA from 1 species
CCUGAGAAACCCAAAAGAUCGAAUGGGGAGAUUCAUCGUCAGCUCAUUUUGUAUAUGUAUAAGUUAUGAUGCGGGUUACUACUUGUAGUAUUGCCUGCACAUUCUUGUAUAUUUAGUUGCAAGAUGUUGUCGGCGUGCACUUCUCCCCUAGUAGGACGUCGCGACCUGUUGGGUGUCGGUCUACGGCCCAAGUGAUAGCCUUUAAUGUAAUUUAAAAAACAUUGAAGAUCCUUGGUGUUUUCUGACCGGCUACUUGGCAGUAUUCGUACGGUAUUUAGCCGCUAAAUUUAUUAAGCGUCCAUAUCCAUCACAAGCGAGGCUAACUUACUGAUAGUACGGACCUAGUGCCGUCGUUGGUAUUGGCCAGCUGUUGGUUGAUGGUAUUCUAGGACUGGCUAAAAUUAAUUACCGGUCGGCGAUGCUACUGCUUUGGGUACUUUCAGG